rnacentral:rRNA from 1 species
GUUGUCCGACUCUGUUGCCUCCGGGGCGACCCUGCCUUCGGGCGGGGGCUCCGGGUGGACACUUCAAACUCUUGCGUAACUUUGCAGUCUGAGUAAACUUAAUUAAUAAAUUAAAACUUUUAACAACGGAUCUCUUGGUUCUGGCAUCGAUGAAGAACGCAGCGAAAUGCGAUAAGUAAUGUGAAUUGCAGAAUUCAGUGAAUCAUCGAAUCUUUGAACGCACAUUGCGCCCCCUGGUAUUCCGGGGGGCAUGCCUGUUCGAGCGUCAUUUCACCACUCAAGCCUCGCUUGGUAUUGGGCAACGCGGUCCGCCGCGUGCCUCAAAUCGACCGGCUGGGUCUUCUGUCCCCUAAGCGUUGUGGAAACUAUUCGCUAAAGGGUGUUCGGGAGGCUACGCCGUAAAACAACCCCAUUUCUAAGGUUGACCUCGGAUCAGGUAGGGAUACCCGCUGAACUUAAGCAU